rnacentral:rRNA from 1 species
AUGGACGGGAGGCUGGACCUGGUCAAAACGGUGCUCUCGGCCAUGCCGAUCUUCCAGAUGAUCGCGUUGAUCAUGCCAACUUUGCUUGCAAAGCUGAUUGACAAGGUGCGGCGUGGCUUUCUCUGGGAGGGCAACGAGGUGGCAUCGGGCGGCAAAUGUCUGGUGAGCUGGAGAACUGUCUGUAGGCCUAAGGAGCUCAGCGGGCUCGGCAUCACCAAUGUGCUGGCACAUAGUGGGGCACUAAUGAUGCGAUGGCUCUGGCAAUCCUGGACCGACGGCAACAAGGCGUGGGCUGGACAUGAACUUCCAAUUAACCGCACUGUCAUAGCCCUCUUCAACGCCUUGGUCGAUUUCCAGCUCGGCAAUGGUGAGCGCAUUCUCUUCUGGAAGGAGCCAUGGUUCAAAGGUGUCUCUCUCCAGCAUGCCUUCCCGGUGCUGUUCGAGCAUUGCACGAGGAAGAACCUAACGGUUGCCGAACCACUUGGGGAUGGCAGGUGGGUGAGACAUCUCAAGCAACACCUACCUCUAUAG